rnacentral:rRNA from 1 species
UAGAAGAUGGCGACCGGCGCACGGGUGAGUAACACGUAUCCAACCUACCCUUUACUCGGGGAUAGCCUUUCGAAAGAAAGAUUAAUACCCGAUAGCAUAAUGAUUCCGCAUGGUUUCAUUAUUAAAGGAUUCCGGUAAAGGAUGGGGAUGCGUUCCAUUAGGUUGUUGGUGAGGUAACGGCUCACCAAGCCUUCGAUGGAUAGGGGUUCUGAGAGGAAGGUCCCCCACAUUGGAACUGAGACACGGUCCAA